rnacentral:rRNA from 1 species
AUUGAACGCUGGCGGCAGGCCUAACACAUGCAAGUCGAGCGGAUGAAGGGAGCUUGCUCCUGGAUUCAGCGGCGGACGGGUGAGUAAUGCCUAGGAAUCUGCCUGGUCGUGGGGGAUAACGUCCGGAAACGGGCGCUAAUACCGCAUACGUCCUGAGGGUGGAAGUGGGGGAUCUUCGGACCUCACGCUAUCAGAUGAGCCUAGGUCGGAUUAGCUAGUUGGUGGGGUAAAGGCCUACCAAGGCGACGAUCCGUAACUGGUCUGAGAGGAUGAUCAGUCACACUGGAACUGAGACACGGUCCAGACUCCUACGGGAGGCAGCAGUGGGGAAUAUUGGACAAUGGGCGAAAGCCUGAUCCAGCCAUGCCGCGUGUGUGAAGAAGGUCUUCGGAUUGUAAAGCACUUUAAGUUGGGAGGAAGGGCAGUAAGUUAAUACCUUGCUGUUUUGACGUUACCAACAGAAUAAGCACCGGCUAACUUCGUG